rnacentral:rRNA from 1 species
GUGCCAGCAGCUGCGGUGAUACGUAGGGUGCGAGCGUUGUCCGGAAUUAUUGGGCGUAAAGAGCUCGUAGGCGGCUUGUCGCGUCGGAAGUGAAAACUCGGGGCUCAACCCCGAGCCUGCUUCCGAUACGGGCAGGCUAGAGGAAGGUAGGGGAGAAUGGAACUCCUGGUGGAGCGGUGGAAAUGCGCAGAUAUCAGGAAGAACACCAGUGGCGAAGGCAGUUCUCUGGACCUUUCCUGACGCUGAGGAGACGAAAGCGGUAGGGAG